rnacentral:rRNA from 1 species
AGGGGGAGCUGCACAACUGCUUGGGAUCGAGAGGAAAAGGGGAGGGGACACGGCGAAAGCAGGGGCGUUGGGAACCGGCUUGGACGUAGCGGUACCGGAGGCUGUAGGUGCGCGGGUGGCUCGAGGGGUGCGGGUCGGUGGAGCAGGCGCUCGAAGCGGCUGCAGGUGAGGAAGCUGAUGCAGGUGGUCAACCUCGGCCCUCGGGGACCUAGCGUCCCUAGCUACAGCAGAAGUUGGAGGUUGGUGGCGCUGCGGUAGCUGCUUAAGCAGCGGCAGCGAGGUGGGGGCCGGAAGAGCUAGAGCGGAUGCUGUGGCGUCACUCUGAAGCUCUGGCGACGGCUACAAGCACACAAGCUGAUGUAGCUUCUACUGGGGAGGAACGGUCUCGUUGGUCUACAACCUCGGGUCCUCGGUCUGCGGUGGAAACUACUGCUGAGGAUGAUGUGGCCUCCACGGAUGAUGAUGCGCGACGGGCGACUGCUGCUGGUCCUCAUCAAUCCUCCUAGGGUCCGUCCUCCGGACGCGGAGGAAGCUAGACAUAGGGUCAAACACGAUCGGAAGAAUUCCGUUUGAACAAAUACAGACAUGAGUCUAUAACAACGAAGGUGACUGAGCAGAUACUAGCUCGAGAACAUAAGCUCGGAAGCUCCGGGGACCGAACAUUAUACUACGAACAUACUGAAUAAAAUAAACAUCUCAACACAACACUAUAG